rnacentral:rRNA from 1 species
UACGUAGGGUCCGAGCGUUGUCCGGAAUUACUGGGCGUAAAGCGUGCGCAGGCGGUUAUGUAAGACAGUUGUGAAAUCCCCGGGCUCAACCUGGGAAUUGCAUCUGUGACUGCAUAGCUAGAGUACGGUAGAGGGGGAUGGAAUUCCGCGUGUAGCAGUGAAAUGCGUAGAUAUGCGGAGGAACACCGAUGGCGAAGGCAAUCCCCUGGACCUGUACUGACGCUCAUGCACGAAAGGCGUGGGGAGCAAACGAGG